UGUGGGCAAACCAAGAACAGUCCCAACUAGUAAUAUAUAUUCUGAUGCUUCAAGAGGGCUAAUCUCUCAAAGAUUAAGAAAAAUAUUUGGGGGAAUUUUUGGACUGAAUAAUGUAAAUGAAAACAGCUAUUUAAGAAGAGUUUAUUAAAUGGACAAAAAGCCAUGAUUCCACAAUCAAGAAAGAGGCCAACUUUGGGUGCAGAGGAUGUGAUGGGCAUGGAGAGAGAGAGGGUGCUUUGGGAUGUUUGUCCCUCAUUUUUAUAGUUUCAGUCCCCCUAUUGAAAACAUUUCCAGCUGAGACCCAGGACACAAAGAAUCUGUGUGAAAAGAUAUUCCAUGCUGGGUUUUUUCACCUGUUUGAGCUUCAUUUGUUUUCUCUCUCUGCUUGAUGACUCUGUUUACUGAUUAAAUGAAAAUUAAAGCAA